UUUUUAACCUGAUAUAGCUCUCAUAUAAACAGAUCUCCCUAUUUGACUUCUUGAACGAUUCUUCUCUAAAUCGGUCUAUAACCUCAAAUAUAGCUCCCAUAUCAACCGAUCUCUCGCAACUUUUGCCACAACUUUUGUCUGAUUUGGCUGAAAUUUUUCAUGUGGUGUUCUGUAACAACUGUUGGUACAGUUGUUACCAAAUACGGCCCAAAUCAGUCUAUAGCCAGAUAUAGCUCCCAUGUAAACCGGUCUCUCGAUCAUCCUUGUUGGUUCUCAGAAGUUUUUAUUUUUGCUGGUUUCGCAGAAGUUUGAUACAUCACGUGUGUUAAGUAACUCCAACACAAAAUGAGCGCCCCAAAGAAACAAAAACUGUCAAAAUCCUCGCCCACAAUUUAUGAAAAAUUGGAAAUAAAUGCGUGCAAAAAAUAGUUUGUGUACUAAUUAUAUUUUGUUCAUUUUGCAAACGGAAGAAAAAGAUGAAGCACGGAAUAAUAUGAUUUUAGAGACCAUGACAAAUCACAAUUAAAUAAUCAGCAAUCUAUGGGGGGAACAGAAUAUCACCUUAAAUUCGAUUGUCAAAUCGUCCCUCAGUAUGUCCUCGGACUUCUUAUCAAAAUUCCCAAUAAAGACAGAAAAAAAUUUAAAGGCAAUGGAUGAUCUAAUUUAUGACGAAAAUAAAUUACCAAUUGUA